CGCGUACGAGUGAGCGGCAAAGCUCAUUUGAAUCUGGUACCUUCGGCUGUCCCGAGUUGUAAUUUGGAGAGGGCAACUUUGGGGCCGUUCCUUGUCUAUGUUCCUUGGAACAGGACGUCAUAGAGGGUGAGAAUCCCGUGUGGCGAGGAGUGCGGUUCUUUGUAAAGUGCCUUCGAAGAGUCGAGUUGUUUG
rnacentral:rRNA from 1 species